GCCUGCUUGGCUCAGUUGGCAGAGCGUUGCUCUCGUAAAGCAAAGGACGGGUGUUCGAUUCACCCAGUAGGCA
rfam:Rhizopus oryzae RA 99-880 supercont3.17 genomic scaffold, whole genome shotgun sequence.